GCGGUUGUAGCUCAGCAGGAUAGAGCAACUGCCUCCUAAGCAGUAGGUCGGGCGUUCGAAUCGCCCCAAUCGCACCA
rnacentral:tRNA from 3 species